UCGAAGUGGUGUCCGGAGGGCGACCCCUU
rnacentral:sRNA from 1 species